rnacentral:rRNA from 1 species
CAGCCGCCACGGUAAUACAGAGGGUGCGAGCGUUAAUCGGAAUUACUGGGCGUAAAGGGCGCGUAGGCGGUUAGGAAGGUGUGAUGUGAAAGCCCUGGGCUUAACCUAGGAAGUGCAUCGCAAACCAACUAGCUGGAGUAUAAGAGAGGGUGGCGGAAUUUCCGGUGUAGCGGUGAAAUGCGUAGAGAUCGGAAGGAACGUCAAUGGCGAAGGCAGCCACCUGGCUUAAUACUGACGCUGAGGCGCGAAAGCGUGGGGAGCGAACAGGAUUAGAUACCCCAGUAGUCCCUGUCUCUUAUAC